rnacentral:rRNA from 1 species
GACGAACGCUGGCGGCGUGCUUAACACAUGCAAGUCGAACGGAAAGGCCCUGCUUUUGUGGGGUGCUCGAGUGGCGAACGGGUGAGUAACACGUGAGUAACCUGCCCUUGACUUUGGGAUAACUUCAGGAAACUGGGGCUAAUACCGGAUAGGAGCUCCUGCUGCAUGGUGGGGGUUGGAAAGUUUCGGCGGUUGGGGAUGGACUCGCGGCUUAUCAGCUUGUUGGUGGGGUAGUGGCUUACCAAGGCUUUGGCGGGUCGCCGGCCUGAGAGGGUGACCGGCCACAUUGGGACUGAGAUAGGGCCCAGACUCCUACGGGGGGCAGCGGUGGGGAAUAUUGCACAAUGGGCGGAAGCCUGAUGCAGCAACGCCGCGUGCGGGAUGACGGCCUUCGGGUUGUAAACCGCUUUCGCCUGUGACGAAGCGUGAGUGACGGUAAUGGGUAAAGAAGCAACGGCUAACUACGUG